rnacentral:misc_RNA from 1 species
AAGUCGUAACAAGGUUUCCGUAGGUGAACCUGCGGAAGGAUCAUUAACACGUAUCCACGUUUAUAACCCGAGAAUGUCUUAGGUAGCUUAUUCAAGAAAAGCUUUAUUAAGAUCUCAAAUCCUUUCGGGGCCUUGAGACCCUAGUAAAGUCUGUCCUAUUCUCAGCUUAGCGGUUGAGUUAGGACUAUUGAAUCUGCUCCUUCGAACUCCUUCAGGGACAAAUCUUCGGAGGCGUCCCUGAAGGCUACUUGAAACCCCUUUUUUCUAAACUAAAGGCCGUCUCUUUGUGGACCGCUUUUAACCGAAUGCUGUACAACUCUUAGCAACGGAUAUCUUGGUUCUG